AGUGAACGCUGGCGGUAGGCCUAACACAUGCAAGUCGAACGGCAGCACAGUAAGAGCUUGCUCUUACGGGUGGCGAGUGGCGGACGGGUGAGGAAUACAUCGGAAUCUACUUUUUCGUGGGGGAUAACGUAGGGAAACUUACGCUAAUACCGCAUACGACCUACGGGUGAAAGCAGGGGAUCUUCGGACCUUGCGCGAUUGAAUGAGCCGAUGUCGGAUUAGCUAGUUGGCGGGGUAAAGGCCCACCAAGGCGACGAUCCGUAGCUGGUCUGAGAGGAUGAUCAGCCACACUGGAACUGAGACACGGUCCAAACUCCUAAGGGAGGCAGCAGUGGGGAAUAUUGGACAAUGGGCGCAAGCCUGAUCCAGCCAUACCGCGUGGGUGAAGAAGGCCUUCGGGUUGUAAAGCCCUUUUGUUGGGAAAGAAAAGCAGCAGGUUAAUACCCCGCUGUUCUGACGGUACCCAAAGAAUAAGCACCGGCUAACUUCGUG
rnacentral:rRNA from 1 species